AUCCAGCUGACGAGUUCCAAAUAGAACGAAACUUACCCUCUGGAU
rnacentral:hammerhead_ribozyme from 1 species